UUUUUGUGAUUGUUGCAGGAAAAAAUGUUCGGCGGCUAUAAAAAUCUCUUUCUUGUCCCAUGAGACAAAUUUCUAACUGCGAUGGCUUCCUGCAAAAACAAAACUGAAAAGGAGGAGGUCCAGAGUUUGCUCUACGCCAGCUCUAACGGCACUUUCGUUCACGUCACGGAUCUUUCAGACAAGCAAACGAUCUCGCGCGUAACCGGCGGCAUGAAGGCCAUGGCCGAUCGUGACUAGGCCUCGCCCUACUCCGCUAUCUUGGCCGCGCAGGACGUCGCCGAAAAGUGCAAGUCGCUCGGAAUCACCGCGCUGCACAUUAAGCUGCGUGCCAUCGGCGGAAACUGCACCAAUACCCCGAGAUCGGCGCUCCGUGCCCUGAGCUGUUCGUCGAUGAUUAUUGUGAAUUAUGUGAAUAUUUGGUAGUGUUUUGUAGUGUAACAGUUAAUAAAUGCUGUUUUUUAACCUGACAA